rnacentral:rRNA from 1 species
UCAGGACGAACGCUGGCGGCGUGCCUAAUACAUGCAAGUCGAACGGUCUUUCUAUGGAAGCUUGCUUCCACUGAGAAGAUAGUGGCGAACGGGUGAGUAACACGUGGGUAACCUGCCCAUAAGAGGGGGAUAACAUCCGGAAACGGGUGCUAAUACCGCAUAGUUUUCUUGAUCGCAUGAUCGGGAAAGGAAAGACGGCCUUUGUGCUGUCGCUUAUGGAUGGACCCGCGGCGUAUUAGUUAGUUGGUGAGGUAACGGCUCACCAAGACGAUGAUACGUAGCCGACCUGAGAGGGUGAUCGGCCACAUUGGGACUGAGACACGGCCCAAACUCCUACGGGAGGCAGCAGUAGGGAAUCUUCCGCAAUGGACGAAAGUCUGACGGAGCAACGCCGCGUGAGUGAAGAAAGGUUUUCGGAUCGUAAAACUCUGUUGUCAGAGAAGAACAAGUUGGAGAGUAACUGCUCCAGCCUUGACGGUAUCUGACCAGAAAGCCACGGCUAACUACGUGCCAGCCGCUGC